CACGUAGGGGCCAAGCGUUGUCCGGAUUUAUUGGGCGUAAAGAGCUCGUAGGCGGCUCGGUAAGUCGGGUGUGAAACCUCCAGGCUCAACCUGGAGACGCCACCCGAUGCUGCUGUGGCUAGAGUCCGGUAGGGGAGCGUGGAAUUCCUGGUGUAGCGGUGAAAUGCGCAGAUAUCAGGAGGAACACCAGCGGCGAAGGCGGCGCUCUGGGCCGGAACUGACGCUGAGGAGCGAAAGCGUGGGUAGCAAACAGG
rnacentral:rRNA from 1 species